UACACGACUCUCGGCAACGGAUAUCUCGGCUCUCGCAUCGAUGAAGAACGUAGCAAAAUGCGAUACCUGGUGUGAAUUGCAGAAUCCCGUGAACCAUCGAGUUUUUGAACGCAAGUUGCGCCCGAGGCCUUCUGGUCGAGGGCACGCCUGCCUGGGCGUCACGC
rnacentral:rRNA from 1 species